rnacentral:rRNA from 1 species
UAAGCGACUAAGCGUACACGGUGGAUGCCCUGGCAGUCAGAGGCGAUGAAGGACGUGCUAAUCUGCGAUAAGCGUCGGUAAGGUGAUAUGAACCGUUAUAACCGGCGAUUUCCGAAUGGGGAAACCCAGUGUGAUUCGUCACACUAUCAUUAACUGAAUCCAUAGGUUAAUGAGGCGAACCGGGGGAACUGAAACAUCUAAGUACCCCGAGGAAAAGAAAUCAACCGAGAUUCCCCCAGUAGCGGCGAGCGAACGGGGAGCAGCCCAGAGCCUGAAUCAGUGUGUGUGUUAGUGGAAGCGUCUGGAAAGGCGCGCGAUACAGGGUGACAGCCCCGUACACAAAAAUGCACAUGCUGUGAGCUCGAUGAGUAGGGCGGGACACGUGGUAUCCUGUCUGAAUAUGGGGGGACCAUCCUCCAAGGCUAAAUACUCCUGACUGACCGAUAGUGAACCAGUACCGUGAGGGAAAGGCGAAAAGAACCCCGGCGAGGGGAGUGAAAAAGAACCUGAAACCGUGUACGUACAAGCAGUGGGAGCACGCUUAGGCGUGUGACUGCGUACCUUUUGUAUAAUGGGUCAGCGACUUAUAUUCUGUAGCAAGGUUAACCGAAUAGGGGAGCCGAAGGGAAACCGAGUCUUAACUGGGCGUUAAGUUGCAGGGUAUAGACCCGAAACCCGGUGAUCUAGCCAUGGGCAGGUUGAAGGUUGGGUAACACUAACUGGAGGACCGAACCGACUAAUGUUGAAAAAUUAGCGGAUGACUUGUGGCUGGGGGUGAAAGGCCAAUCAAACCGGGAGAUAGCUGGUUCUCCCCGAAAGCUAUUUAGGUAGCGCCUCGUGAAUUCAUCUCCGGGGGUAGAGCACUGUUUCGGCAAGGGGGUCAUCCCGACUUACCAACCCGAUGCAAACUGCGAAUACCGGAGAAUGUUAUCACGGGAGACACACGGCGGGUGCUAACGUCCGUCGUGAAGAGGGAAACAACCCAGACCGCCAGCUAAGGUCCCAAAGUCAUGGUUAAGUGGGAAACGAUGUGGGAAGGCCCAGACAGCCAGGAUGUUGGCUUAGAAGCAGCCAUCAUUUAAAGAAAGCGUAAUAGCUCACUGGUCGAGUCGGCCUGCGCGGAAGAUGUAACGGGGCUAAACCAUGCACCGAAGCUGCGGCAGCGACGCUGAUGCGUUGUUGGGUAGGGGAGCGUUCUGUAAGCCUGCGAAGGUGUGCUGUGAGGCAUGCUGGAGGUAUCAGAAGUGCGAAUGCUGACAUAAGUAACGAUAAAGCGGGUGAAAAGCCCGCUCGCCGGAAGACCAAGGGUUCCUGUCCAACGUUAAUCGGGGCAGGGUGAGUCGACCCCUAAGGCGAGGCCGAAAGGCGUAGUCGAUGGGAAACAGGUUAAUAUUCCUGUACUUGGUGUUACUGCGAAGGGGGGACGGAGAAGGCUAUGUUGGCCGGGCGACGGUUGUCCCGGUUUAAGCGUGUAGGCUGGUUUUCCAGGCAAAUCCGGAAAAUCAAGGCUGAGGCGUGAUGACGAGGCACUACGGUGCUGAAGCAACAAAUGCCCUGCUUCCAGGAAAAGCCUCUAAGCAUCAGGUAACAUCAAAUCGUACCCCAAACCGACACAGGUGGUCAGGUAGAGAAUACCAAGGCGCUUGAGAGAACUCGGGUGAAGGAACUAGGCAAAAUGGUGCCGUAACUUCGGGAGAAGGCACGCUGAUAUGUAGGUGAAGUCCCUCGCGGAUGGAGCUGAAAUCAGUCGAAGAUACCAGCUGGCUGCAACUGUUUAUUAAAAACACAGCACUGUGCAAACACGAAAGUGGACGUAUACGGUGUGACGCCUGCCCGGUGCCGGAAGGUUAAUUGAUGGGGUUAGCGCAAGCGAAGCUCUUGAUCGAAGCCCCGGUAAACGGCGGCCGUAACUAUAACGGUCCUAAGGUAGCGAAAUUCCUUGUCGGGUAAGUUCCGACCUGCACGAAUGGCGUAAUGAUGGCCAGGCUGUCUCCACCCGAGACUCAGUGAAAUUGAACUCGCUGUGAAGAUGCAGUGUACCCGCGGCAAGACGGAAAGACCCCGUGAACCUUUACUAUAGCUUGACACUGAACAUUGAGCCUUGAUGUGUAGGAUAGGUGGGAGGCUUUGAAGUGUGGACGCCAGUCUGCAUGGAGCCGACCUUGAAAUACCACCCUUUAAUGUUUGAUGUUCUAACGUGGACCCGUAAUCCGGGUUGCGGACAGUGUCUGGUGGGUAGUUUGACUGGGGCGGUCUCCUCCUAAAGAGUAACGGAGGAGCACGAAGGUUGGCUAAUCCUGGUCGGACAUCAGGAGGUUAGUGCAAUGGCAUAAGCCAGCUUGACUGCGAGCGUGACGGCGCGAGCAGGUGCGAAAGCAGGUCAUAGUGAUCCGGUGGUUCUGAAUGGAAGGGCCAUCGCUCAACGGAUAAAAGGUACUCCGGGGAUAACAGGCUGAUACCGCCCAAGAGUUCAUAUCGACGGCGGUGUUUGGCACCUCGAUGUCGGCUCAUCACAUCCUGGGGCUGAAGUAGGUCCCAAGGGUAUGGCUGUUCGCCAUUUAAAGUGGUACGCGAGCUGGGUUUAGAACGUCGUGAGACAGUUCGGUCCCUAUCUGCCGUGGGCGCUGGAGAAUUGAGGGGGGCUGCUCCUAGUACGAGAGGACCGGAGUGGACGCAUCACUGGUGUUCGGGUUGUCAUGCCAAUGGCACUGCCCGGUAGCUAAAUGCGGAAGAGAUAAGUGCUGAAAGCAUCUAAGCACGAAACUUGCCCCGAGAUGAGUUCUCCCUGACUCCUUGAGAGUCCUGAAGGAACGUUGAAGACGACGACGUUGAUAGGCCGGGUGUGUAAGCGCAGCGAUGCGUUGAGCUAACCGGUACUAAUGAACCGUGAGGCUUAACCU